CGCUCUCUGUAAAUUUAUUUUAUAUUUAAUUUGGCAAGCAUGGAGAGUCGGACCUGCCCAGUGACAAUUGCUUGUUAAACGGCCGCGGUACUCUGACCGUGCAAAGGUAGCAUAAUCAUUUGCCUUUUAAUUGAAGGCUUGUAUGAAUGGUUUGACGAAGGCUAAGCUGUCUCUUUUUAAGUAUAAAAAAAUUAACUUCUAGGUGAAGAGGCUUAGAUUUAGUUGAGGGACAAGAAGACCCCGUUGAGCUUUAGUAAUUUAGUAAAAUUAAAAUGGUCGAUAAGUGUAUAAGAUCGUAGACUUAUUUGUGGUGAUGUGCUCUGCAUGCAGAAGCUUUAUUUACUAAAAAUCUUUAGUUGGGGCGACUGAGGAACAUAAAAAGCUUCCUUUUAGUGCUGUAAAUUUAGGUAGUCAGACUUAGGCGGAUAGAUCCAGUAUCUACUGAUUAAAGGAAAAAGUUACCACGGGGAUAACAGCGUAAUCUUUCUGGAGAGUUCUUAUCGAAAGAAGGGUUUGCGACCUCGAUGUUGGACUAAGAUAUCCCAAGGGUGUAGAAGCUUUUGAUGGUUAGUCUGUUCGACUAUUGAAAUCUU
rnacentral:rRNA from 1 species